rnacentral:rRNA from 1 species
UGGGGAAUUUUGGACAAUGGGCGCAAGCCUGAUCCAGCCAUGCCGCGUGCAGGAAGAAGGCCUUCGGGUUGUAAACUGCUUUUGUCAGGGAAGAAAUCCUUUGGGUUAAUACCUCGAAGGGAUGACGGUACCUGAAGAAUAAGCACCGGCUAACUACGUGCCAGCAGCCGCGGUAAUACGUAGGGUGCGAGCGUUAAUCGGAAUUACUGGGCGUAAAGCGUGCGCAGGCGGCUUUGCAAGACAGAUGUGAAAUCCCCGGGCUCAACCUGGGAACUGCAUUUGUGACUGCAAGGCUAGAGUGCGGCAGAGGGAGAUGGAAUUCCGCGUGUAGCAGUGAAAUGCGUAGAUAUGCGGAGGAACACCGAUGGCGAAGGCAAUCUCCUGGGCCUGCACUGACGCUCAUGCACGAAAGCGUGGGGAGCAAACNGGAUUAAUNCCCUGGUAGUCCACGCCCUAAANGAUGUCAACUGGUUGUUGGACGGCUUGCUGUUCAGUAACGAAGCUAACGCGUGAAGUUGACCGCCUGGGGUAGCACGGCCGCAAGGUUGAAACUUAAAUGAAUUGACGGGGUCAUAGCUGUUUCCU